rnacentral:sRNA from 1 species
GAGAGCUGCAGGAGGGUGACAUGAUCUCAAUAAAAGGAAUGCUCUGGCUGCUGGGUAGAGAAGAAAGCGAGGACAUGCUGCUGCUGAAGAAACACACGGAGGACAUCAGCAGCGUCUACGAGAUCCGUGAGAGGCUCGGAUCGGGUGCCUUCUCCGAGGUGGUGCUGGCCCAGGAGCGGGGCUCCGCACACCUCGUGGCCCUCAAGUGCAUCCCCAAGAAGGCCCUCCGGGGCAAGGAGGCCCUGGUGGAGAAUGAGAUCGCAGUGCUCCGUAGGAUCAGUCACCCCAACAUCGUCGCUCUGGAGGAUGUCCACGAGAGCCCUUCCCACCUCUACCUGGCCAUGGAACUGUGAGGAGGGCCUGGGCAGGCUGUGGGAGCCGGGGAGGGACUGAGCAGUGAGUGGGGCUGAAGGCCAGGCUGAGUGCCUGGGUCAGCCAAACCCCUGGCACCCCCAGGGUGACGGGUGGCGAGCUGUUUGACCGCAUCAUGGAGCGCGGCUCCUACACAGAGAAGGAUGCCAGCCAUCUGGUGGGUCAGGUCCUUGGCGCCGUCUCCUACCUGCACAGCCUGGGGAUCGUGCACCGGGACCUCAAGGUGCCUGGCUGGGGCCUCUGCACCUCACCCUCCCACCUGCCCACCUGGCCCUGCCUUUGUUUUCCCGGGAGCACGGCUGGGGCCUUUCUUGAUCUCCCGCUCCACCAAGGCUCUGGGGAACCUGAGAGUGCCUAGUCCCCAUCCUGUCCCAGCACCGGCACCGCGUCAGGACUGACUGGCCCUUUUCCCGGUGUCCGUGUGUCACAGCCCGAAAACCUCCUGUAUGCCACGCCCUUUGAGGACUCGAAGAUCAUGGUCUCUGACUUUGGACUCUCCAAAAUCCAGGCUGGCAACAUGCUAGGCACCGCCUGUGGGACCCCUGGAUAUGUGGGUGAGGGACGACACCCUGAGGCUUGCUGGGAGUGGGGUGGCCUGGGGGAC